rnacentral:rRNA from 1 species
AGUGAACGCUGGCGGCAGGCCUAACACAUGCAAGUCGAACGGCAGCGCGGGAGCAACCUUGGCGGACGGGUGGGUACGGGCGGGUAAUACAUCCGUACGUGCGCAAUUACUGUGGCUAACGCGACGAAAUAUGGGAUAAUACCGUAUUCGAUCAACCGACCUACGGGGGGAAUCGCAAGAUCUUGCGCGAAUGGACGGUUAGAUGACAGAUUAGGUAGUUGGCGAGGUAAAGGCUCACAAAGCCACCGAUCUGUAGCUGGUCUGAGGGGACGAGCAGCCACACUGGGACUGAGACACGGCCCAGACUCCUACGGGAGGCAGCAGUGGGGAAUAUUGGACAAUGGGCGAAAGCCUGAUCCAGCCAUACCGCGUGAAGGAUGAAGGCCUUCGGGUUGUAAAGUGCUUUUGUACGGAACGAAACGGAGCUUUCUAAUAAGGCAGGGUAAUGACGGUACCGUAAGAAUAAGCACCGGCUAACUUCGUG